rnacentral:rRNA from 1 species
GACGAACGCUGGCGGCGUGCUUAACACAUGCAAGUCGAACGGAAAGGCCCUGCUUUUGUGGGGUGCUCGAGUGGCGAACGGGUGAGUAACACGUGAGUAACCUGCCCUUGACUUUGGGAUAACUUCAGGAAACUGGGGCUAAUACCGGAUAGGAGCUCCUGCUGCAUGGUGGGGGUUGGAACGUUUCGGCGGUUGGGGAUGGACUCGCGGCUUAUCAGCUUGUUGGUGGGGUAGUGGCUUACCAAGGCUUUGACGGGUAGCCGGCCUGAGAGGGUGACCGGCCACAUGGGGCCUGAGAUACGGCCCAGACUCCAACGGGAGGCAGCAGGGGGGAAUAUGGCACAAGGGGCGGAAGCCGGAGGCAGCAACGCCGGGUGCGGGAUGACGGCCUGCGGGUUGUAAACCGCUUCCGCCUGUGACGAAGCGGGAGUGACGGUAAUGGGUAAAGAAGCACCGGCUAACUACGUG